CCUACGGGUGUCAGCAGUGAGGAAUAUUGGUCAAUGGGCGCGAGCCUGAACCAGCCAAGUAGCGUGAAGGAUGACUGCCCUACGGGUUGUAAACUUCUUUUAUAAAGGAAUAAAGUGAGGCACGUGGGCCUUUUUGUAUGUACUUUAUGAAUAAGGAUCGGCUAACUCCGUGCCAGCAGCCGCGGUAAUACGGAGGAUCCGAGCGUUAUCCGGAUUUGUUGGGUUUAAAGGGAGCGUAGAUGGGUUGUUAAGUCAGUUGUUAAAGUUUGCGGCUCAACCGUAAAAUUGCAAUUGAAACUGGCAGUCUUGAGUACAGUAGAGGUGGGCGGAAUUCGUGGUGUAGCGGUGAAAUGCUUAGAUAUCACGAAGAACUCCGAUUGCGAAGGCAGCUCACUGGACUGCAACUGACACUGAUGCUCGAAAGUGUGGGUAUCAAACAGGAUUAGAUACCCCAGUAGUC
rnacentral:rRNA from 1 species